rnacentral:rRNA from 1 species
GUAGGUGGCAAGCGUUGUCCGGAAUUAUUGGGCGUAAAGCGCGCGCAGGUGGUUCUUUAAGUCUGAUGUGAAAGCCCCCGGCUCAACCGGGGAGGGUCAUUGGAAACUGGGGAACUUGAGUGCAGGAGAGGAAAGUGGAAUUCCACGUGUAGCGGUGAAAUGCGUGGAUAUGUGGAGGAACACCAGUGGCGAAGGCGACUUUCUGGCCUGUAACUGACACUGAGGCGCGAAAGCGUGGGGAGCAAACAGGAUUAGAUACCCUGGUAGUCCACGCCGUAGACGAUGAGUGCUAAGUGUUGGGGGGGUUUCCCGCCCCUCAGUGCUGCAGCUAACGCAUUAAGCACUCCGCCUGGGGAUACGGUCGCAAGACUG